rnacentral:rRNA from 1 species
UACGGGGGGGGGCAAGCGUUGUUCGGAAUUACUGGGCGUAAAGGGCUCGUAGGCGGCCAACUAAGUCGGAUGUGAAAUCCCCAGGCUUAACCUGGGAACUGCAUCCGAUACUGGAUGGCUUGAAUCCGGGAGAGGGAUGCAGAAUUCCAGGUGUAGCGGUGAAAUGCGUAGAUAUCUGGAGGAAUACCGGUGGCGAAGGCGGCAUCCUGGACCGGCAUUAACGCUGAUGAGCGAAAGCUAGGGGAGCAAACGGG